ensembl:lncRNA
GGUUGAACAUGUGUUGGGUCCAGUAAUGACUCGUCGGUAUCGUGGAGCAACCAAACCCGUACAGACUGCCAGCAGAACAGAACCCACUAAUGUGGCUCCGGAAUUCAUUUCCCCUCAAGCUUUGCCAUUAAGUUGUCCCGGGAAGAGCUUCCAGUUUUUGGAGAAAGCUGGUGAAAGAUUGUGGAAUCGCUCUGCAGGGAUUUGCUCCCAAUCAACCUCGGGAACAUUUUUACGGUCCGCCGCUGAUAUCGGAUGAUAACACCUGGCUCCAAUUCCUUCCAGAGGUGUUAGACGAGCGUUUAUCAGCGAAGCAGUUAUGACAUAUCAGGAUUCCUGUGGUCCCAUCAUCUAUGAUCAUCUAUGAUCCUCCCCUCCUGAUCUGCUCAGCUUCCUCCUGCUACCAUCGGAAAAUGGCCCCAGAAGUAGUGUUACCCACACUCAUCACUGUAAGGCAACCGUUCCAUCUGCCCACCAAGAUGUGGAGUCGUCUGUGGUCCAACAUUGCAAUGGUGUACGAUAGUUCCCAUCGGGCCGUGAAGCCUUACGUCGUUUAGCUGAGACAGGCUAGGCCACCGUUAGCAUGGGUGCCUGCCAAAACACCUCCAGUCAAUUGAAGGUCAAAGCGAGUUCCAGAACUGAAACGUGUCGGAAUGAAGAGGGCCUCACCGCCAACCACGUGCACGUUUAGAACUUACCUACUGACUUCCUCAGUUCUGUCCUGACCCGUUUGGUUUGAGUUGUUUUGGUACUCAAAGUACUCAGACAAACCGGAUGGUUGAGAGGACUGCCUCAUAGCAGAGCACAACAGGCAGGGUGCUAUCAAAUAAUGAGAUGUCAACAAUUGUUUGGUCCUGCAUUUUUCAUCCAUAAAAAGUCAUAAAUAAUGAGGCUGGUACAUUAAGAAAAGUCUCAGCUCAGGAGGCCUCUCGCCCACGCUCUUCGGCGCAUUAAACCUCUCGACGGUGUCAUUUCUUUUUGUCCAGCGAGUGUGUCGGUUACUCUGGCAACAAGGUCCCCAAACGAAGGGAUAUUAAGGACUUGAGGGACAAGGCGGGAGAGAUGAGGGGCGCGGUGGCAGGAUUGUGUUUGCAGAAGAUUAAGGCGCUUCAGGACAGAAGCAUGAUGGAUGGACGGAGGUCCUUCAUCCAUCAGGGCCUGUUUACAUCACCUUUAAGCGGGCCAACCACGCCAAGUCUCCCUCUCCCCGCACUCCCUUAAAGGGGCCGGCUGACCCGAGCUCCACGCUGGUUCCAAUCACCGCCGUGAUGGAUCGCACGAGGGAGCGUACACGUAAGUGACAAGGGAGACUUAUGGAGCCAUUUGCCAAAGCCGCGAUCCAGCCGCCGGAGUUUUUGUUUCUUGCUGAAUCUGCAUGUUGUUGCCGUGUUGCAGUGGCGCAGUCGUCAUUUGCCUUGACUUGUUAUGGCCCCGUAUUGUUCAUCAUUCACAAACGACACCGAGCCGUAAACCUGUCACAAUAUAAUGGCCCAUUGUCUCUUUGGUGUGAAUGAGGCCCAAAUGAGACAUAGCCGGCUGCUUCCUCCCGCCUCGCCUCUCUAACCAUCAUCAACACUGACUCUUUUUAUCCGAUGCUUACUCUUUCAUUUCAUGGGCCGUCUGUUUGAAACAUGAAGCGCC